rnacentral:rRNA from 1 species
CUGGCUCAGGAUGAACGCUAGCGACAGGCCUAACACAUGCAAGUCGAGGGGCAGCGGGGAGGUAGCAAUACUCUGCCGGCGACCGGCGCACGGGUGCGUAACAGGUGUGCAAUCUGUCCAUAGUCGGGGGAUAGCCCGGCGAAAGCCGAGUUAAUACUCCAUGUGUCAUUUAGCCGCAUGACUGAAUGAUGAAACGUAAGGACUAUGGGUGAGCACGCUUCUGAUUAGGUAGUUGGUGAGGUAACGGCCCACCAAGCCGACGAUCAGUAGGGGUUCUGAGAGGAAGGUCCCCCACAUUGGAACUGAGACACUGUCCAAACUCCUACGGGAGGCAGCAGUGAAGAAUAUUGGUCAAUGGACGAGAGUCUGAACCAGCCAAGUCGCGUGAAAGGAUGAAGGUUCUAUGGAUUGUAAACUUCUUUUGUCUGAGGGUAAAGUCAGGGACGUGUCCCUGUUGGCAAGUAUCAGACGAAUAAGCAUCGGCUAACUCCGUGCCAGCCGCGGC